AUUGAACGCCGGCGGCAGGCCUAACACAUGCAAGUCGAGCGGGGACUUCGGUCCUAGCGGCGAACGGGUGAGGAAUGCUUGGGAAUCUGCCCAGUAGCGGGGGAUAACGUUUCGAAAGGAACGCUAAUACCGCAUACGCCCUACGGGGGAAAGGGGGGGAUCUUCGGACCUCUCACUAUUGGAUGAGCCCAAGUCGGAUUAGCUAGUUGGUGGGGUAAAGGCCUACCAAGGCGACGAUCCGUAGCUGGUCUGAGAGGAUGAUCAGCCACACUGGAACUGAGACACGGUCCAGACUCCUACGGGAGGCAGCAGUGGGGAAUAUUGGACAAUGGGCGAAAGCCUGAUCCAGCCAUGCCGCGUGUGUGAAGAAGGCCUUCGGGUUGUAAAGCACUUUAAGCGAGGAGGAAUGGCUGAGGGUUAAUAACCUUCAGCAGUGACGUUACUCGCAGAAUAAGCACCGGCUAACUCUGUGCCAGCCGCCGCGGUAAGAC
rnacentral:rRNA from 1 species